GGGCGGCGUGGACGCGAUGAUCACAGCCCCGUGCGCGGUCGCUUGGGUUUGCGGGAGCAAGUAGCGAGACCGGCCACGUGCCU
rnacentral:ncRNA from 1 species